AUUGAACGCUGGCGGCAGGCCUAACACAUGCAAGUCGAGCGACCGGCGGGCGGGUGAGUAAUGUCUGGGACACUGCCUGAGGGGGGGGGAGAACUGCUGGAGACGGUAGCUAAUCCCGCGUCCCAUUAGAUGUGCCCCGAUGGGAUUAGCUAGUGGGGGGGGUAAAGGCCCACCAAGGCGACGAUCCCUAGCUGGUCUGAGAGGAUGACCAGCCACACUGGAACUGAGACACGGUCCAGACUCCUACGGGAGGCAGCAGUGGGGAAUAUUGCACAAUGGGCGAAAGCCUGAUGCAGCCAUGCCGCGUGUGUGAAGAAGGCCUUCGGGUUGUAAAGUACUUUAAGCGGGGAGGCGUUACCCGCAGAAGAAGCACCGGCUAACUCCGUGCCAGCAGCCGCGGUAAUUC
rnacentral:rRNA from 1 species